rnacentral:rRNA from 1 species
AUUCNCUUNGAGGNUCUCUGGUGAUUCAUGAUAACUUCUCGAAUCGCAUGGCCUUGCGCCGGCGAUGGUUCAUUCAAAUUUCUUCCCUAUCAACUUUCGAUGUUUGGGUAUUGGCCAAACAUGGUUGCAACGGGUAACGGAGGGUUAGGGCUCGACCCCGGAGAAGGAGCCUGAGAAACGGCUACUACAUCCAAGGAAGGCAGCAGGCGCGCAAAUUACCCAAUCCCGACUCGGGGAGGUAGUGACAAUAAAUACUGAUACAGGGUUCUUUUGGAUCUUGUAAUUGGAAUGAGUACAAUUUAAAUCCCUUAACGAGGAACAAUUGGAGGGCAAGUCUGGUGCCAGCAGCCGCGGUAAUUCCAGCUCCAAUAGCGUAUAUUAAAGUUGUUGUGGUUAAAAAGCUCGUAGUUGAACCUUGGGCCUGGCUGGCCGGUCCGCCUCACCGCGUGUACUGGUCCGGCCGGGCCUUUCCCUCUGUGGAACCCUAUGCCCUUCACUGGGUGUAGCGGGGAAACAGGACUUUUACUUUGAAAAAAUUAGAGUGCUCCAGGCAGGCCUUUGCUCGAAUACAUUAGCAUGGAAUAAUAAAAUAGGACGUGUGGUUCUAUUUUGUUGGUUUCUAGGACCGCCGUAAUGAUUAAUAGGGACAGUCGGGGGCAUCAGUAUUCAAUUGUCAGANGUGAAAUUCUUGGAUUUAUUGAAGACUAACUACUGCGAAAGCAUUUGCCAAGGAUGUUUUCAUUAAUCANGAACGAAAGNUANG